rnacentral:lncRNA from 10 species
GAAGGUCUCAUGGGCCUUGGUGUAGAGCACGUCCUUCCGGCUCUGGGGGCAGGAGGAGAGGUCCAGGGCCCCGGCCAGCCUGUGGGAGGCGGGAGGCUGAGGAGUUGGUCGCCAGCCCCCCACCCUUCCAACGCUGGGCAUGGCCCUCCCUUCCCAAGCCACAGCUUUCCUCUCACCCUCUGUCCUGGGGGAACAGGGUCCCCCAAAUUCACAUCCACCCAGAACCUCAGAAUGUGACCUUGUUGGGAAACAGGGUCAUUGCAGAUGGGUAAGAUGAGGUCAGACUGGAUCAGGUGGGCCCUAAACCAAUGACUGGAGGCCUUCUAAGAACAGGGAAAGCUGAGGGCUGGGUGCGGUGCUCUCACCUGUCAUCCCAGCACUCUGGGAGGCCUGGGCAGGUGGAUCACGAGGUCAGGAGAUCGAGACCAGCCUGGCCAACAUGGUGAAGCCCCGUCUCUACUAAAAAUACAGAAAUUAGCUGGGCGUGGUGGGCGCCUGUAGUCCCAGCUACUUGGGACGCUGAGGCAGGAGAAUUGCUUGAAUCCAGGAGACAAGAGAGAGGUUGCAGUGAGCCGAGAUCACGCCACUUAACUCCAGCCUAGGUGGCAGAGUGAGACUCCAUCUCAAAAAUAAGCAAACAAACAAAAAAGGGAAAUCUGAGGCUGGGCGUGGAGGCUCACGCCUGUAAAUCCCAGCACUUUGGGAGGCUGAGGCAAGAGGAUUGCUCUGAAUCCAGG